GAAGUACAUGGCCGAGAGAAAUCUGAAAGAGAUGCUGCAGUGGACACAGAGGCCCUGGUCCCCAGACACCCUCUCCCUCCCCAGCUCAGCCCUGCUGACAAGAGUGAAUGAUCCCUCUCCCAGCAGGACUAGGCUCCAGCCCCUCCACUAGAUUCUGGAGGCUCUCUUCUCUGAAGCUGGACCCUGGUUCCUCUGGUGGGCCCACUUUUCCACGCCGCAGCCAUGCUCUAUUCUUUGUUUCUGGGCCUUUACCUGUGUGGGGCCCCUCCCACUGGCUGGACUGCCCUUUCCCCUGGGGGCCUGUCUGGAUCCCACCCUUCCCUGGGAAGAUUUCUCUGAAUCCCCCAGCCAUCAUUCCUAUAAUCUACCCAGAACCAUUUCCUGACCUGGGAUCACACUGGCAGGGGACAAUGAGAGGACCCAUGACUAGGGUUAGAGGUGGGCAAGGGGGAUCUGAGGAAGCUUGGGAGCUGGUGUCCUAACAAGCUAAGGUGACACUGAGCACACUGUUAUGGGUGUCCCAGGGCGAAGUAAGAUGAUUGGGAGACUGUACACCACAGUGAUGACUUGCAAGGCUUUGGAGGGAUUGGCUGUCCAGCCACUUCCCUGCUCUUUGCUUCCAUUUCCUCAUCUGAAAAAUGGGGAUACUAAUACCCAACAUUUGGGUCCAAAAGAUAAGGCACGUGAGAAGCUUGGUCAGGGCACACUUUUUCUUUAUUGUGCUCUGAAUGUCGCUUCACCAGAGGCCACUCCUGGGAGACUUGCCCUUUUUUCUUUUUCUCAGCUCUGUUGCAUUCCUUCCCAAGGUGGUUGUUGCUUUUUUUUUUUUUUGAAGAUUUUAUUUUGUAAUCUUUACACCCAACAUAGGGCUCGAACUCACAACCCUGAGAUCCAGAGUCACAUGCUCUACUGACUGAGCCAGCGUGCCCCCCUUCCCAAAUUUUAAUUAUUUAUUUAUUAGAGUGUUUACUUGUUUAAUUUGCCAUUAUUCCAUAGCUCAAUGAGGACAAAGACCUAUUUUUGUUUGCCUGUUUCCUCAACAAUUCAUGAGGCACCUGGCCCAUAAAAGGCACUCAACACACAUUAACUAAAUGGACAAAGUGAUUAUUAGCUCUUUGGACAGGUGUCUUAUCCUUAAAUAAUUUUAAUUUCCAGAGUAAUGCUAAUUUUUUCGAACAUUUUAUUGAAGUGUUUCAGGGAGGUGGUUUCAUUCUUUCAGAUGGUUUCAUCCUUUUCAUGGAGACGAGGAAUAAUUAUACCAGCUUGGUUCCCUGGAGGAGCUCACGGAAUGGCACAGGGACAUAGCAGGCUCUGGCCUUGCCUUUGAACCCUUCACCAUGCCUGGAAAAAGAUUUUGUUGGGACACCUGACUGGCUCAGUCAAAGAAGCAUGCGACUCUUGAUCUUGGGGUCACGAGUUCGAGCCCCACAUUGGGUGUAGAGAUUACUUAAAUAAAUAAAACUUAAAAAAAAGGUUUGGCUACCGGAGUUUACCAGGAUUUUAAUGACCAAAGAAUUCUGAAAACGAAAAAGCACCAUACAAAGUUGAGGUAUUAUGAUCAUUAUUACCUUAAUAGGAGAGCCCUGCACCCUGGAUGUAUCCGAAAAGCAAUCUAUCCUACCCGAUCUAAUCACCCAGUUAUAUUUUAGUUAACACCCUGUUAAAACUAUGUCCCAACACAAAGACUCAAAAGAAGCGGUAUCUACAAAAGUUGAAGAAUGGCAGGAGGCAGGGCGCCUGGGUGGCUCAGGUCAUGAUCCCAGGGUCCUGGGAUCGAGCCCCCACAUCAUGCUCCCUGCUCAGCAGGAAGCCUGCUUCUCCCUCUCCCACUCCCCCGAUUGUGUUCCCUCUCUCGCUGUGUUUCUGUCAAAUAAAUAAAUCUUAAAAAAAAAAAAAAAAAAAAAAGUGGCAGGAGAGGACCUGUCUCCAGAGCUUUCUCAACUGUAGAAAUAAAGAGACAGUAGCCUGAUUCCCCUCUUCUGCUCUAUCUGCCAAGUAUUAUGGUUUCACAUAAAAUGGCUUCUGAGCUAAAAUCUCGUAAUUUAAAAAAGUAUUCAACUUUUAUCCAUAAGUUGAAAGUGCAGGCUUAAAAAUGUACAAGCACUGUAAGGAUAAAACUGUCAUUUUUUUUUUUAAAGAUUUUAUUUAUUUAUUUGACA